rnacentral:rRNA from 1 species
UAACGCGUGGGUAACCUGCCUCAUACAGGGGGAUAACAGUUGGAAACGACUGCUAAUACCGCAUAAGCGCACAGGAUCGCAUGAUCCGGUGUGAAAAACUCCGGUGGUAUGAGAUGGACCCGCGUCUGAUUAGCCAGUUGGCAGGGUAACGGCCUACCAAAGCGACGAUCAGUAGCCGACCUGAGAGGGUGACCGGCCACAUUGGGACUGAGACACGGCCCAAACUCCUACGGGAGGCAGCAGUGGGGAAUAUUGCACAAUGGGGGAAACCCUGAUGCAGCGACGCCGCGUGAGCGAAGAAGUAUUUCGGUAUGUAAAGCUCUAUCAGCAGGGAAGAAGAAUGACGGUACCUGACUAAGAAGCACCGGCUAAAUACGUGCCAGCAGCCGCGGUAAUACGUAUGGUGCAAGCGUUAUCCGGAUUUACUGGGUGUAAAGGGAGCGCAGGCGGUGCGGCAAGUCUGAUGUGAAAGCCCGGGGCUCAACCCCGGUACUGCAUUGGAAACUGUCGUACUAGAGUGUCGGAGGGGUAAGUGGAAUUCCUAGUGUAGCGGUGAAAUGCGUAGAUAUUAGGAGGAACACCAGUGGCGAAGGCGGCUUACUGGACGAUAACUGACGCUGAGGCUCGAAAGCGUGGGGGAGCAAACAGGAUUAGAUACCCUGAUAGUCCACGCCGUAAACGAUGAAUACUAGGUGU